rnacentral:rRNA from 1 species
CCUACGGGAGGCUGCAGUGAGGAAUAUUGGUCAAUGGACGCAAGUCUGAACCAGCCAUGCCGCGUGCAGGAAGACGGCUCUAUGAGUUGUAAACUGCUUUUUUACGAGGGUAAACGCAGAUACGCGUAUCUGUCUGAAAGUAUCGUACGAAUAAGGAUCGGCUAACUCCGUGCCAGCAGCCGCGGUAAUACGGAGGAUUCAAGCGUUAUCCGGAUUUAUUGGGUUUAAAGGGUGCGUAGGCGGUCGGAUAAGUUAGAGGUGAAAUCCCGAGGCUCAACUUCGGACUUGCAUCUGAUACUGGUAGGCUAGAGAGUAGUUGAGGUAGGCGGAAUGUAUGGUGUAGCGGUGAAAUGCUUAGAGAUCAUACAGAACACCGAUUGCGAAGGCAGCUUACCAGGCUACUUCUGACGUUGAGGCACGAAAGCGUGGGGAGCAAACAGGAUUAGAUACCCCAGUAGUC